rnacentral:rRNA from 1 species
UACAGAGGUCUCGAGCGUUGUUCGGAUUCAUUGGGCGUAAAGGGUGCGUAGGUGGCGCUGUAAGUCGGGUGUGAAAUCCUGAGGCUUAACCUCGGAACUGCAUUCGAUACUGCGGCGCUUGAGGACUGGAGAGGAGACUGGAAUUCAUGGUGUAGCAGUGAAAUGCGUAGAUAUCAGGAGGAAUACCGGUGGCGAAAGCGACUCUCUGGACGGCAACUGACGCUGAGGCACGAAAGCGUGGGGAGCAAACAGG